ACAUUUCAAUUUAAAACUCCCCAUACUCUCUCAACGAUAUUGGACUGAUCGCGGGGCUGUGAGCGACUUUUUGUUGUUUUAUGAGUCCUUCAUGUAGAUAUUUCCACAGACAUUGAAACAAGCCCUGCAGACUACAACUGACCUUCAGUUGAACCCGGCCACGGUGACAUGAGACGAGUUGGUUUAUUCCAGUCCAAAGUACCGAUCAGAUUUGGAUGCGCACAUGAUGGGAAUGAUAACAGUUAAAAAAGAUGUCUGUAACGCGAUGACAAAUGCAUAAAGCAUGUUGGCUGGUUAUGAAACAGUCAUCUGCAUAUUGAAAAGUGUGCUUAUUUCAUGAAGGCAAAAAAAACCAAUAUCUACAGGGCUGCCCAUAUAAGAACCCUUUCUUCAGUGAAGGACAACCAGGAAGAAACAUGUUUGUAUCCAGUCUACUCAUACAUUGCUAAACGAACGUCUGAAUAGGGAAGUACCUUGGUUUGUUCACUCUGCUCUCAUUCCUAACACGCUUCUGACUGGUGUCUGAUAAUUGUUGUCUGAUUGACAUAAAUGUCAGAAUGAUGUCUUUAGGAGAACAGUCGGUCUUUUAUUGGACACAUCUGUGGAUGAUUGGUCUCUAUAAACAGGCUUGUGGUCAAGAUUACACUGCAUCUUGUUCGUCAAAUGAGCUAUAAUUAUUAUAGAAUGACAAAUGAGCAAAUAUAUUUGUCAUCGAAAUAUGAACAUAACAGGUUGUGAUGACAUAUAGUUGUAAAAUUUCUGUAAAGCACGUGCAAGGUGUAAAAAUAUACCCCUAAACACAUGUAAUAGUUUUGUGUUUGUCUAUUUAAAAAUACGUAUGAAUU
rnacentral:sRNA from 1 species